rnacentral:rRNA from 1 species
GACGAGGGGUCCUAGCGUUGUUCGGAAUCAUUGGGCGUAAAGCGUGUGUAGGUGGCUAUUCAAGUCAGUUGUGAAAUCCCCGGGCUCAACCCGGGAAGUGCUUCUGAUACUGUUUAGCUUGAGUACUAGAGAGGAUAGUAGAAUUCCUGGUGUAGUGGUGAAAUACGUAGAUAUCAGGAGGAAUACCGGUGGCGAAGGCGGCUAUCUGGCUAUGUACUGACGCUGAGACACGAAAGCGUGGGGAGCAAACAGG